AGCGAACGCUGGCGGCAGGCUUAACACAUGCAAGUCGAGCGGGCGUAGCAAUACGUCAGCGGCAGACGGGUGAGUAACGCGUGGGAACAUACCUUUUGGUUCGGAACAACACAGGGAAACUUGUGCUAAUACCGGAUAAGCCCUUACGGGGAAAGAUUUAUCGCCGAAAGAUUGGCCCGCGUCUGAUUAGCUAGUUGGUGAGGUAAUGGCUCACCAAGGCGACGAUCAGAGCUGGUCUGAGAGGAUGAUCAGCCACAUUGGGACUGAGACACGGCCCAAACUCCUACGGGAGGCAGCAGUGGGGAAUAUUGGACAAUGGGCGCAAGCCUGAUCCAGCCAUGCCGCGUGAGUGAUGAAGGCCCUAGGGUUGUAAAG
rnacentral:rRNA from 1 species